rnacentral:lncRNA from 1 species
UUUGUGCAAUUUAUUUUUACCGCCACCAAGGACACACUUUUGGCAGCCAUGUCUGCCAGACAGAAUGUCGAGUAUGCUGGUUGGGCCGCAUAGGGUAGAGCUUGGUGCAGUUAGCUGCAUGUAAGAGAAAAUAAGGAAGGCUGCGUCUAGCCUUGCUAGAACUUGCUAGAACCUUGCCUCACGAAUAGGGCACGAGAGACUGAGAACCACUGGUCUGGACGAAAGGGACGACCACAGAGACAGGACUCUUCCGUGCUUGAAGCCGGAGACAGAUAAUUGGAUGGCACACGCGCACACAGGGGGACAUUUGGACACAGACACCUGUCCCACGAGGAGAGCACCAUGUGAUGAUGAAGGCAGAGAUCAAGGCGAUGCAUCUACAAGCCAAGGAAUGCCAGAGGUGGCUAGCAAACCAGCGGCGGUAUGAGAGAGGCCUGCAACGGAUUGUCCCUUGCAGACCCUCCCUCAGGAGGAAGUAGCCCUGUGGGCGCCCUUAUCCUGGAGGUCCGGCCUCCAGAACUGGAAGACAAUACAUUUCUGCUGUCUAAGCCACCUGAUCACUUUUGUUUUCCAGAACUCUUUCAGUUGGUCAUCGUUUUGGUUGCAAGCAACGGAAAACUCAGCCUGAACCGGUCUGAACAAUAAAGAGAAUUUAUUGGCUCACGGAACGGAAAAGUACCCAGGGAAGAUUGCCUCUGGGUGUGGUUUGUUCAGGACGCUGGCUCCGAUUCUCUCAGUUCUGUCUUCCUCUGUGUGUUAGGUUUUGUCUUUGGACGGGUUUGCCGUUCAUGACGGUAACAUGGCAUCCAGCUGUAACAAUACCACAUCCUUGCUUUUCCACAGUCCCCAAACAGCCGUCCUGAACUUGGCUCUGCGUAGUUCAUCUUAGGUCACAUAUGUACCCUGCGCCUGGCACUGUGGCAAUGGGGGUGAUCACUGGAGAGAGGGGAGAAUCCUCUCCUCCACCUUCCUUGCCUUUAUUCUGGUCCCCAGGGCCAAGCGGGUCCUUCUGCAGGAAUGUAAAGAGAUGCUGACACUGACAUCAAAGCUGACACAGGGACAGAAUAGAUAUACUUACAGCCAUAUUGUGCUGUUCACAGGCUCUCGCCUAGAAGCUUUCAUUUUUAGAACGGAGUGGCGAGAAGAGGCCCCCGCACUUUGCCAGAGGACUGGCAUUCAG